UACGUAGGGGUGCGAGCGUUGUCCGGAAUUACUGGGCGUAAAGAGCUCGUAGGUGGUUUGUCGCGUUGUCCGUGAAAACUCACAGCUCAACUGUGGGCGUGCGGGCGAUACGGGCAGACUGGAGUACUGCAGGGGAGACUGGAAUUCCUGGUGUAGCGGUGGAAUGCGCAGAUAUCAGGAGGAACACCGGUGGCGAAGGCGGGUCUCUGGGCAGUAACUGACGCUGGAGGAGCGAAAGCGUGGGGAGCGAACAGG
rnacentral:rRNA from 1 species